UUUAGAUAAAAGUUUUGGGUAUCUUUUUUUAUUUUGCAUUUUGCAAUGCUAAAGAUCAAACUCAGCCUUGUGCAAGCACUACACCAUCAAGCUAUCUACCCUGGUCCUACCUCUCGUGCUUCCUAAUCUCAGGAUAUUUUCUUUCCUGUAUCUGAUCUAGGCUUCGGGGGAAAAAAUAUCAAACUUGUUUGGACAAUUGAUCGAAUGAUGUGGGCAACGGAAAGCUAUGUAUAUCCUGAACACACUCUUACUUCCAGAUGAAGGUAGCUGCUGCAGCAUUUGAGGUACCGACUCACACUGUGGUUUGAGGCCUGCGGGGCUGAACCUCAGGGCGCCCCUUAUCUCAGCCUGUCUGUGACUGCUUCCUCUUCUGGGAGUCACCUGUCUGUGCAUGCAUUCCACCCACCUUCAGAGCAUCCGGCCACAUUUUUCUCUCUGCAGCUGGCUUCCCCAGCUGUCGGCCAUACUUUGUUUAAGGUCAUGCCUCAGAGCCUCCUCUCCCUCUGUAAACCGAAGCCCUUAGCAGAAACUGCAGCAAAGCAGCAGAAGAGCUGCCAUCCCAGUCACAAACACAUCAACCCCAUGGUCCUACCUCAGGAGAGAAAGGGGAUGUAGACUUAACAUGGCUCAGGGUAUGGCGUCAUCUGCCAAUUCCUCUAUGACUUCGGAAAGUCCUCGGUUUUCUUAGUAAACUGGAAAUGAAAGGAACAGCUACCUCCGUAAGAUUGAACUGUGAUGGUGAGCACAAAGCAUCGCCUGACGAGAUUACACAUGCCUCACCUGACAGAUUCCACAAGGUCUGGCAGCUCCCUGCAGAGAACGGCCAUGUGUACCUGGUGCAUCACUGCACCAGUGACUACCAAAUGCUGGAGACCUGGAAGGUGCUAAGUAACUGUACAACUAACAGCUAUGAUAGAUCCCUGAGGCAGGGGGAGGGGGGUACGAUGUCAGAUGGACACAGUGAAGUAACUUCCUGGGAAGUGAAGGGCAGGCAAGGGGAUCGCUUUCAGUGUUUGCCUGGUUGAGGUACCACAUUCAAAAUAAAGCUCUAAACUGAAUAAAUGGUGAAGCCCAGGGGCCAUGUGAGAAAGAAAUUAGACUGGGAUUUAAAGGAAGCAGAUGGGAGUGGAGCAAAGCUGUGAAGUGUAAGGCUGUCGUUGAUUUGAUUUGAGGAGCGAGAUUAUGCUUACCAGCCGUCCCCAAAAGAUCUUCCAUUUCUCUUUCCUAAGAGACUCCAUCAACCAGACACGUGUGCCCUGGCAUGACAUGGUGUCCUCUUUCUUGGAGUGAUUACCAGACCUACAUGAUGGGAGAGAGAAGUCAGUACAGCAUUAACAGUGGAGUAACUGAUAACAGCAUUUCAAGUCAGGCAAGGGAGCAAGGUCAAGAACACCUAUGAAGUCAUGGUGAUGACCUUUGUCCUUUAUUACAUGAUGACAAUGAUCCCUUACCUCUACAACCUUCCACCUGAAAAGCCACACCCCUGACUGGUGAGCGAGAUUUUGUAAUAUACCUGUGUGAAGAUCUUCAGAAUAGUUAAAGCCACCAAAAGCAGGGGACAUUUGAAAAAUGGUCACUGGCAUGGAGAGUCUGAGGAGCUGAGAUGGCUGAAUUGAAUGACGUUCUGCAUGGGAUCCUGGAAUGGGAAAAUGAGAUUGGGACAACAAGGAAAUCCGAAUAAAC
ensembl:lncRNA